rnacentral:rRNA from 1 species
CAGCAGCCACGGUAAUACGAAGGGGGCGAGCGUUAUUCGGAAUCACUGGGCGUAAAGCGUGCGUAGGCGGUCCUAAAAGUUAGGAGUGAAAGCCCAGGGCUCAACCCUGGAAUUGCUCUUAAAACUAUAGGACUAGAAUUCGGGAGAGGAUAGCGGAAUUGUCAGUGUAGCAGUGAAAUGCGUAGAUAUUGACAGGAACACCAGUGGCGUAAGCGGCUACCUGGGCCGACAUUGACGCUGAGGCACGAAAGCGUGGGGAUCAAACAGGAUUAGAUACCCCCGUAGUCCCUGUCUCUUAUAC